UAAUGUCUGGGAAACUGCCUGAUGGAGGGGGAGUAACUACUGGAAACGGUAGCUAAUACCGCAUAACGUCGCAAGACCAAAGAGGGGGACCUUCGGGCCUCUUGCCAUCGGAUGUGCCCAGAUGGGAUUAGCUAGUAGGUGGGGUAACGGCUCACCUAGGCGACGAUCCCUAGCUGGUCUGAGAGGAUGACCAGCCACACUGGAACUGAGACACGGUCCAGACUCUACGGGAGGCAGCAUG
rnacentral:rRNA from 1 species